CGGCCCUAUGGGUUGUAAACUGCUUUUAUAAGGGAAUAAAGUGAGUCUCGUGAGACUUUUUGCAUGUACCUUAUGAAUAAGGACCGGCUAAUUCCGUGCCAGCAGCCGCGGUAAUACGGAAGGUCCGGGCGUUAUCCGGAUUUAUUGGGUUUAAAGGGAGCGUAGGCCGGAGAUUAAGCGUGUUGUGAAAUGUAGAUGCUCAACAUCUGAACUGCAGCGCGAACUGGUUUCCUUGAGUACGCACAAAGUGGGCGGAAUUCGUGGUGUAGCGGUGAAAUGCUUAGAUAUCACGAAGAACUCCGAUUGCGAAGGCAGCUCACUGGAGCGCAACUGACGCUGAAGCUCGAAAGUGCGGGUAUCGAACAGGAUUAGAUACCCUGGUAGUCCGCACGGUAAACGAUGGAUGCCCGCUGUUGGUCUGAAUAGGUCAGCGGCCAAGCGAAAGCAUUAAGCAUCCCACCUGGGGAGUACGCCGGCAACGGUGAAACUCAAAGGAAUUGACGGGGGCCCGCACAAGCGGAGGAACAUGUGGUUUAAUUCGAUGAUACGCGAGGAACCUUACCCGGGCUUGAAUUGCAGAGGAAGGAUUUGGAGACAAUGACGCCCUUCGGGGCCUCUGUGAAGGUGCUGCAUGGUUGUCGUCAGCUCGUGCCGUGAGGUGUCGGCUUAAGUGCCAUAACGAGCGCAACCCCUCUCCUUAGUUGCCAUCAGGU
rnacentral:rRNA from 1 species